rnacentral:lncRNA from 1 species
CAGGAUUAUGACUUAAGAGCCCAGAUUUGCAUCUCACACCCGCUACUUACGCGCCAGGGGCCUCUGUGGAUGCCACUCCACAGCCUCGUGUGUUAAGAGGCACACAAGAGCUGCCUGAUUGGCUCCCAAGCUCAGAACCAGGAGCCAGGGAAAUCAUAGCGAAAUCAGAACCUGAUGUGGCCCCGUCAGCAUCACGCGCACACUCAGAGCAAAAUGACCUGCUCUUCAAUGUAAUUUGGUUUAGUUUAGUUCAGUUGUCCUGCCCACCAGCUCCUGACCCUCCCGCCACUGAGGGGUGGUAUUUGAAAGCACAGGCAAGUUAAUGAAGCAUCCAAUUCAUGCCAGCUUUUAUCUGUCAGAGAAACACCAGCGAGCAAGGUAGAGACACCAAGCCAAACCCUGAUGUCCCUGCUCUGCUGUGUAAGAAGAGAAGACACUCAACGGCACAAAAGGAGGCUGAGGUCCCCCCUUCCACCCUUCCCUGAGCAGAGCCGUCUGACACUGGAGCCCAGCUGCUCCCCAUCUUCCUGCACAUCCUCAGCUCUCAGGGGCAGCUGCCAGCUUGGUCUCAGACACGCUCGCUUCCCAGACCCCAAUCUCAUUUGUAAAAUGACAGUUGGAGCGCAUCUGGCCUGGCGACUUUGUUCAGAACAUCAUGUGGCUUCCUUUCUCUGUAACUCCACCCUUCACUGCAGAAGUUCAGACCACCAGUGGGUCCGUGAAACAAGUCUAAACAGACCUCUCUGUGUUCCUUCUCGAUGCAUCUACUAGAGAAUAAUCCCAACAUGCUCCCUUGAAAUGGCUUAGCCAGGAAUUGGCACUUAUUUCUACAUUUCACAGAGUGAUAGCCUGAACUGGUCCAUGGGAAACAAGAGGGGCCCGUUGCCCAUCAGCAGCCCUGUGAGAUGCCAUCAGCGCAUUUAUCACAAAAGCCACACUGCGAUGUUUGUUUUUCACUGGAAGACGUAGUAAAAAGGUGGUGACAUGGUAUAUGGCCGUCAGAGCAUGUGGGUCUGUAAUGGCCGUCGUCACUAUUUCCUCCUGCUCCUGAUGAUGCUGAGGUAAUAGUCACCCAUGGCUGUGAACACUCCGAGUGAGCAUCAUUAGAAUGUGCUCAGGGAAAGCAAGACCUCUGUGAUUCUGGGCCCACGUGGCAGAUGGGAUCCCCUGCUUGUAAUGCCAACUACAGACACCCACAGAUAGAGAAGGAGGGGAGGAGUUUGGCAGGAGGUACCAGGGUGUCUCAGAGAGCUGAAGAGGAAAGCUGAACAAUUGGGUCCCGAGGACAGAAACCUGUGCCCAGCUGGGGAUCUCCGCUGCCAGACGCAACGGUGGUGGCCCUGGGUUUCUGCACUGCUGUGCGUGAGGAGACUCCAUACUCAGAAGUGACGAGAGUCAACCCACUGCGCCUCGGCCUCAAGCAUCUCAGCCUGGGCUUGGGUGUUCAUCUUCAGUGCCUUGCACACCCUGAGCGCUCA